AGAGUUUGAUCAUGGCUCAGAACGAACGCUGGCGGCAGGCCUAACACAUGCAAGUCGAACGCCCCGCAAGGGGAGUGGCAGACGGGUGAGUAACGCGUGGGAACCUUCCUAGUGGUACGGAACAACUCAGGGAAACUUGAGCUAAUACCGUAUACGCCCCUCGGGGGAAAGAUUAUCGCCAUUAGAUGGGCCCGCGUAGGAUUAGCUAGUUGGUGAGGUAACGGCUCACCAAGGCGACGAUCCUUAGCUGGUCUUAGAGGAUGAUCAGCCACACUGGGACUGAGACACGGCCCAGACUCCUACGGGACGCAGCAG
rnacentral:rRNA from 1 species